rnacentral:snRNA from 1 species
GUGCUCGCUUCGGGCAGCACAUGUACUAAAAUUGGAAAGAUUCAGAGAAGAUUUGUGCACAAGGAUGACACACAAAUUCAUGAAGCAUUCCGUAUUUUG